rnacentral:rRNA from 1 species
AGCGAACGCUGGCGGCAGGCCUAACACAUGCAAGUCGAACGAAGUCUUCGGACUUAGUGGCGGACGGGUGAGUAACACGUGGGAACGUGCCUUUAGGUUCGGAAUAACUCAGGGAAACUUGUGCUAAUACCGAAUGUGCCCUUCGGGGGAAAGAUUUAUCGCCUUUAGAGCGGCCCGCGUCUGAUUAGCUAGUUGGUGAGGUAAAGGCUCACCAAGGCGACGAUCAGUAGCUGGUCUGAGAGGAUGAUCAGCCACAUUGGGACUGAGACACGGCCCAAACUCCUACGGGAGGCAGCAGUGGGGAAUCUUGCGCAAUGGGCGAAAGCCUGACGCAGCCAUGCCGCGUGAAUGAUGAAGGUCUUAGGAUUGUAAAAUUCUUUCACCGGGGACGAUAAUGACGGUACCCGGAGAAGAAGCCCCGGCUAACUUCGUGCCAGCCGCCGCCGCAG